GACAGAGGUGCCGAGCGUUAGGCGGAAUCACUGGGCUUAAAGCGCGUGUAGGUGGCGGCCUAAGCACCUUGUGAAAUCCUGCGGCUCAACCGCAGAACUGCUUGGUAUACUGGGUCGCUUGAGACAUUCAGGGGCAACUGGAACAAGCGGUGGAGCGGUGAAAUGCGUAGAUAUCGCUUGGAACGCCAAAGGUGAAAACAGGUUGCUGGGGAUGUUCUGACACUGAGACGCGAGAGCCAGGGGAGCGAACGGG
rnacentral:rRNA from 1 species